UUACGGUCAAAUCACGUUGAAAACACCGGUUCUCGUUCGAUCACCGAAGUUAAGCAUCGUAGAGCCAGGUCAGUACUUAGAUGGGGACCGCUUGGGAACACCUGGUACUGUAAG